CAAAGCUCCAAAUGGAGGUUUCAGGUGUGAAAAUUUCAUUUGACCUCUUCUCCCUGAAAGUGAUCUGAGUCAGAGAAGAGAGUGAAAGGACAAGGGUGUCUGAGAAAAGGCUGGCUAAGUCCCACAUUGAGGAGAGGACACAAGGCAGACAGUAGAAUGCUUCUGAUAAUUUUGUGAUCUUGGGGUCAAUGGAAUUUGUGUUCUGUUUCCUGUCUGUAGCCCUGAGAGUACCCCAGGCCUUUGAGGACUAGACACUAGAAGACGGAUGGUUGAUGCAAAUGUCCAAGACAGAAGUGGGUUUGGCAUACCUACUGGGUUUCCUGGGCCUUCAGAGUUGUAUGGAAGAACUGAAAAAUUUCCUCAUGUUUCCCAGGACAGCUGUGGAAAUGAAGACAGAACGAGCAAGACAGCAAGAGAGAACUGUUGGGCACUGAAAUCUAGAAGUUAUGAAAAGAGGCUACCUCUGGGGACAGUUAUGUAGAUCAAAUUUAGAGAUUAAUCAUGGCUUAGGACCAGAAAGAACUCUAUGUUUCAAUUAUGAAUUAUGACCAAGUAGGCAGAAGCUAUCAGGCAGUGACCAGAUGACCCCCUCAAGUUUUCUGGGUACAAAGAAAGUGUACUUGAAAUGAAAAUUAAGAACUUGUAAAAAUUGUGUAUAUUUAACUUUUGAAUUAAUGGCCUGAAAAAAUUAUACCAUUAUGUGUGAAUAACUAAUAAAGUAGAAGUUUGAAGAUGCAAGCAUGAAAGGCAAAUAACAGAGCACAUUUCAGAGAAAACAGAGAUUAUAAUUUUAUGGAGAGGGAUAUGUAGUCUUGACCAAAAG
rnacentral:lncRNA from 1 species